UAAGCAAAGAAUAUUUUGUCAUUUUCAUCAUCUUGAUUCUGUGCUAUAAAAUGCAGCUUUAAGAUGAAACGAAGGGGUCGUAUUUAAAUAACCAGCAAGCUUGAAGAAACAACGAACUAUGGCUCAGCAACUAAGUCAGAAGGGAUGGAUAUAUGUGCAUGCAUCCGAAUUCCAAUAUGCAGAACCGAAGUGCUGGACUAUAGUCAAUUACGACGGAUCAGCAGAACUAGUGCACUCAUGGAAGCUAGAGGUAAAGGGAAAUUGUAAAGCAAGCCUGCUUCCAAAAGAUAAAACUUAUGCUGCAUAUUUUAUGGUUAUGCUGAGGAAGGACAGCGUAUUUACAACUCCAAGUUAUCUCCAAAUAACUCUCCCAUCUGAGUAACCGCAAGUGAAGUGUAUAGAACUGAAAGACUCCCCUAAAGAAAAAACCAUUAGGCUUCAACUUGGAGAAGAAUUUAACACCAGCUCUUUAAAGGAUGGAGAUAUCGAGUUUUCGCUCUAUGGGAAUGACCGGGCCGGUAAGAAAGGUUUGGUUGUCUAUGGAGUUCUUUUCGCACCUGUAGAAGACUGAUUGUUCACCAGAUAACCAGAGCAUGGUUAGUAUCAGUACUGAAUGCAUUAGCAUUUUCAGUAACAAGCAAAGCAGCUGUGAUAUAGCUUGUAUUGUAUCAUAUUUGACAAUAAAAAUCUUGUUUUAAAUUUGUAAUGAUGAUAAUUAAAAGCACAGAUAUGUCUUAAGAUAGUAUUACAAAUUUACAAUAUAUU